rnacentral:rRNA from 1 species
GACGAACGCUGGCGGCGUGCUUAACACAUGCCAGUCGUACGGUAAGGCCCUUUCGGGGGUACACGAGUGGCGAACGGGUGAGUAACACGUGCGUAACCUGCCCACAACUUUGGGAUAACGCUAGGAAACUGGUGCUAAUACUGGAUAUGUGCUCCUGCUGCAUGGUGGGGGUUGGAAAGCUCCGGCGGUUGUGGCUGGACUCGCGGCCUAUCAGCUUGUUGGUGGGGUAGUGGCCUACCAAGGCGGCGACGGGUAGCCGGCCUGAGAGGGUGACCGGCCACAUUGGGACUGAGAUACGGCCCAGACUCCUACGGGAGGCAGCAGUGGGGAAUAUUGCACAAUGGGCGCAAGCCUGAUGCAGCAACGCCGCGUGCGGGAUGACGGCCUUCGGGUUGUAAACCGCUUUCAGCAGGGACGAAGCUUUUUGUGACGGUACCUGCAGAAGAAGCACCGGCUAACUACGUG